rnacentral:lncRNA from 13 species
CAUGCUGCCCAGGCUGGUCGGAAACAACUGAGGUCAAGCUAUGCCCACCUUGGCCUCCUAAAGUGUUGGGAUUACAGGCGUUAGCCAUUGCGUGUGGCCACCUCUGUCUCUUUCUUCAGCUUGUGCUCUGGAACCACAAUCCCUGGUUUGAGUCUCUGCCCUGUCACUUACUGUUGACAGCUGUUUAGGUAACAGAAUUCUACUGAGACCAUCUUGGCCAUAGAGACCCCCACACAGGCGGUGCUGAAGGCAUUAACAAGCAGACACCCAGCUAGAACAUCAAAGUGGGACUAUCCAGCGGCCAACAGCCUUCCAAGCUGAGAUACUCCAGGGGCUGACAGCCUUCUGGACUGAGGGCCUCGAGCAGACGCUGACCCACGUAUUUAUUCUCUCUGAAGAGGUGAUUAUU